GAUGAACGCUGGCGGCGUGCCUAAUACAUGCAAGUCGAGCGAACAGACGAGGAGCUUGCUCCUUUGACGUUAGCGGCGGACGGGUGAGUAACACGUGGAUAACCUACCUAUAAGACUGGGAUAACUUCGGGAAACCGGAGCUAAUACCGGAUAACAUGUUGAACCGCAUGGUUCAACAGUGAAAGACGGUUUUGCUGUCACUUAUAGAUGGAUCCGCGCCGCAUUAGCUAGUUGGUAAGGUAACGGCUUACCAAGGCAACGAUGCGUAGCCGACCUGAGAGGGUGAUCGGCCACACUGGAACUGAGACACGGUCCAGACUCCUACGGGAGGCAGCAGUAGGGAAUCUUCCGCAAUGGGCGAAAGCCUGACGGAGCAACGCCGCGUGAGUGAAGAAGGUCUUCGGAUCGUAAAACUCUGUUAUUAGGGAAGAACAAAUGUGUAAGUAACUAUGCACGUCUUGACGGUGCCUAAUCAGAAAGCCACGGCUAACUACGUG
rnacentral:rRNA from 1 species